rnacentral:lncRNA from 1 species
UUGGUUGAAAAAUCAAAUCUGUGUCCUUGGGUGCAUGCUUAGGUCCCAUGCAAGAAAUGGGAAUGAAUUUCAAACACCAGGUCACCGUUGAUUGCCGACAAAACAUUGAGAUGCCUAGUUUUUAAAUUCUAGUAAAUCCAAGACUCGUCUGAAAUUAAUGAAACUUGGCAUGCUAUGAUGGAGCGGCAUCAACAUGCCAUAGUAAAAAUUUUGUCCCAUUUGGGGCAGGUUUGGGUAUAUGCUUCUCACAAACCAGAGCUUCUCAGAACAAGCAUGCUGGUUUCGGUAGGGAACGUCCCACCUUUGGGGACGUAACGAUAUCCAUUGCCUCUUAUUGCUUCCAAUUUUUUUCUCGUGUCAACAUAGAACAAUAGGAGUGUUAUGUCAAUUUUUGUGAUUUUUCGGGGUUCGUUUGGACAUUUUUAUUCAUUAACUGAGUUUUCAAUGCAUUUAUGUGCAUAAUUAAAAUGUGAACUACAUGCACAUGCUCCAGUGCAUAUAAAUUGGUUGAAAAAUCAAAUAUGUGUCCUUAGGUGCAUGGUAAGGUCCCAUGCAAGAAAUGGGAAUGAAUUUCAAACACCAGGGCACCGUUGAUUGCCAGCAAAACAUUGAGAUGCCUGGUUUUUAAAUUCUAGUAAAUCCAAAACUCGUCUGAAAUUCAUGAAACUUGGCAUGCUAUCAUGGAGCGGCAUCAACAUGUCGUGGUAAAAUUUUAGUCCCAUUUGGGGCAGGUUUGGGUAUAUGCUUCUCACAAACUAGAGCUUCUCACAACAAGCAUGAUGGUUUUAGUAGGGAACGUCCCACCUUUGGGGACGAAACGAUAUCCAUUGCCUCUUAUUGCUUCCAAAUUUUUUCUCGUGUCAACAUAGAACAACAAGAGUGUUGUGUCAAUUUUUGUGAUUUUUUGGGGUUCGUUUGGACAUUUUUGUGCAUUAACUGAGUUUUCAAUGCAUUUAUGUGCAUAAUUCAAAUUUGAACUACAUGCACAUGCUCUAGUGCAUAUAAAUUGGUUGAAAAAUCAAAUAUGUGUCCUUGGGUGCAUGGUUAGGUCCCUUGCAAGAAAUGGGAAUGAAUUUCAAACACCAGGGCACCGUUGAUUGCCGGAAAAACAUUGAGAUGCCUGGUUAUUAAAUUAUAGUAAAUCCAAAACUUGUCUGAAAUUCAUGAAACUUGGCAUGCUAUCAUGGAGCGGCAUCAACAUGCCGAGGUAAAUUUUUUGUCCCAUUUGGGGCAGGUUUGGGUUUAUGCUUCUCACAAACCAGAGCUUCUCACAACAAGCAUGAUGGUUUCGGUAGGGAACGUCCCACCUUUGGGGACGAAACGAUAUCCAUUGCCUCUUAUUGCUUCCAAUUUUUUUUUCGUGUCAACAUAGGACAACAUGAGUGUUGUGUCAAUUGUUGUGAUUUUUUGGGGUUCGUUUGGACAUUUUUAUGCAUUAACUGAGUUUUCAACGCAUUUAUGUGCAGAAUUCAAAUUUGAACUACAUGCACAUGCUCCAGUGCAUAUAAAUUGGUUGAAAAAUCAAGUCUGUGUCCUUGGGUGCAUGCUUAGGUCCCAUGCAAGAAAUGGGAAUGAAUUUCAAACACCAGGGCACCGUUGAUUGCCAGCAAAACAUUGAUAUGCCUGGUUUCUAUUUCUAGUAAAUCCAAAACUCGUCUGAAAUUCAUGAAACUUGGCAUGCUAUCAUGGAGCGGCAUCAACAUGUCGUGGUAAAUGUUUUGUCCCAUUUGGGGCAGGUUUGGGUUUAUGCUUCUCUCAACAAGCAUGAUGGUUUCGGUAGGGAACGUCCCACCUUUGGGGACGAAACGAUAUCCAUUGCCUCUUAUUGCUUCCAAAUUUUUCUCGUGUCAACAUAGAAUAACAGGAGUGUUGUGUCAAUUUUUGUGAUUUUUCAGAGUUUGUUUGGACAUUUUUAUGCAUUAACUGAGUUUUCAAUGCAUUUAUGUGCAUAAUUCAAAUUUGAACUACAUGCACAUGCUCCAGUGCAUAUAAAUUGGUUGAAAAAUCAAAUAUGUGUCCUUGGGUGCAUGCUUAGGUCCCAUGCAAGAAAUGGGAAUGAAUUUCAAACACGGGAGCACCGUUGAUUGCCGGCAAAACAUUGAGAUGCCUGGUUUUCAAAUUCUAGUAAAUCCAAAACUCGUCCGGUGCGCAGGUUCAUCGGGAAGUGUGCGAGAUGUUCAAAGCAGGAUUUGUGCAUCUCUUCAACGCAAACGGUUCAGUGAAGCAGUAAAGCGGCAGAAAAU